AGAGUUUGAUCAUGGCUCAGGAUGAAUGCUGGCGGCGUGCCUAACACAUGCAAGUCGAGCGGCAGCGAAGGGUGCUUGCACCCUGUCGGCGAGCGGCGGACGGCUGAGUAACGCGUGGGAAUCUACCCUAAAGUGAGGGAUAACCGCCCGAAAGGGUGGCUAAUACCGCAUAUGAUCUUCGGAUUAAAGGAUUUAUCCGCUUUAGGAAGAGCCCGCGUUAGAUUAGGUAGUUGGUAGGGUAAUGGCCUACCAAGCCAACGAUCUAUAGCUGGUCUGAGAGGAUGAUCAGCCAGACUGGAACUGAGACACGGUCCAGACUCCUACGGGAGGCAGCAGUGAGGAAUCUUCCACAAUGGGCGAAAGCCUGAUGGAGCAACGCCGCGUGAAGGAUGAAGGCCUUCGGGUUGUAAACUUCUUUUAUGAGUGAAGAAUAUGACGGUAACUCAUGAAUAAGCACCGGCUAACUACGUGCCAGCAGCCGCGGUCAUACGUAGGGUGCAAGCAUUAUCCGGAGUGACUGGGCGUAAAGAGUUGCGUAGGCGGUUUAAUAAGUGAAUAGUGAAACCUGGUGGCUCAACCAUACAGACUAUUAUUCAAACUGUUAAACUCGAGAGUGGUAGAGGUAACUGGAAUUUCUAGUGUAGGAGUGAAAUCCGUAGAUAUUAGAAGGAACACCAAUGGCGUAGGCAGGUUACUGGACCAUUUCUGACGCUAAGGCACGAAAGCGUGGGGAGCGAACUGGAUUAGAUACCCCGGUAGUCCAA
rnacentral:rRNA from 1 species